CGACUCUUGCUGAGACCAAAGCACCAUCUCUCAAUAGAGGACCAGAACCAGUGCUCUUACAGAAAUAUUUUCGAAGCAGAUGCCAGCAGUAUGUCGGUGCCAACGCUUCAUGUUUGCAAAGCUGUGAAGGAAUGAGAGGAAAGCAUCCGCCUCCCAGGAAGUCACUGAAGAAAGGGGCUCGCUUUGUUUUCUGAGAAGAGAAGGACACAGGCCAGGUGUUCCCAUCAAAUCAAUAAGGAG
rnacentral:lncRNA from 1 species